rnacentral:snRNA from 1 species
AUAUAGUGGUGUCGAUCGAUGAUUAGGAAGGUCGAUGGCCUAGGAAGGCCGCCUCCAUUGCACUUGGCAGGGGGGUCUACCUAGAAUCUCCCACUGAGGAGAGUGCACGCCAUAAUUUGUGGCAGUCGAGGCUCGUGUUCGUGCGACCUCCAC